UACACUCAGGCGAGAUCUGCAACCUGUGGUGCAACUACUACGACAUCCAGGACUCUUGGGACAGUGUCCUGGACAUUAUUGACUGGUUCUUUGAGAACCAGGAUGUCCUGAUACCUGCAGCCGGACCUGGAAGGUGGAAUGACCAUGACAUGGAUAAGAGCGGCAUUGAAGUGUUCUGGCGCCCCCUGUCAAGCAAUGCCAGUGCAUUGGUAUUCUUCAGUCAUCGUAAUGACAUGCCCUACCGCUACCAGAGUUCCCUCAGCAAGCUCACCUAUACCACCGGCAGCUACAAGAUCUUUGACAUCUUCACUGAAAGACUGACUUUGUGGUGUCAGUGAACCCCACAGGUGUGGUCAUGUGGUACGUCUCUGCGCUGGCCAAACUGAACAGUCCUAUGAAGAUGGCAAACUUUAGGGAUCUGCAGACGAUGGCGCCAUUCCUCAUGUCCUCCUCUGACUGCUCACUGAACUUCAUCAUCUAAUAAUCACUGUUUCUGCCUCAGUGCACUGUCUCUUGAUAAAGUGUUAACUGAUGAGACCUCACUUAAUAUCAUCAGGUGCUCAAAGGAAUAAUCUGUGACUGUGAAUAAAUGUUCACUUUUCA